GACGAACGCUGGCGGCGUGCUUAACACAUGCAAGUCGAACGGAAAGGCCCUGCUUGCAGGGUACUCGAGUGGCGAACGGGUGAGUAACACGUGGGUGAUCUGCCCUGCACUUCGGGAUAAGCUUGGGAAACUGGGUCUAAUACCGGAUAGGAACCAUCUUUAGUGUGGUGGUUGGAAAGUUUUUUCGGUGUAGGAUGAGCUCGCGGCCUAUCAGCUUGUUGGUGGGGUAAUGGCCUACCAAGGCGGCGACGGGUAGCCGGCCUGAGAGGGUGUACGGCCACAUUGGGACUGAGAUACGGCCCAGACUCCUACGGGAGGCAGCAGUGGGGAAUAUUGCACAAUGGGCGCAAGCCUGAUGCAGCGACGCCGCGUGGGGGAUGAAGGCCUUCGGGUUGUAAACUCCUUUCGCUAGGGACGAAGCUUUGUUGUGACGGUACCUAGAUAAGAAACACCGGCUAACUACGU
rnacentral:rRNA from 1 species